GACUUGGGUUGCUAGAUUAAUAAUUGUAUACAAUUGGAAUAAAUUCGAUGAAUGAAACGUUAGUGAUGAUAGGCGUUAAGAGCUAGUAGCAUAAAGUGAAAGACACUAAUAAGAGCUCUGGAACAGAUUCUGGGUUUCAUGUAAUUAUGGAAGUAACUUACAUAAUUUAAGAAUGUAAGGACAAUGCGUACAAUCAUGUUUAGGUAUGAAACGAACUUCUGACCAAGAUCCCGAAUGUAUUCAUGUUGUGAUGAGCAUCGUUAAUGAAUAGAUGAAAAGAUAAGAGUAGGUAUGAGAAAGGUUUCGGGGACGAAACCUCCUUUAAGGGAGGUAGAUUUGUAACAGCCCAAAAUUUAUAAUAGAUUAUUUAUUAUGUUAAGAGUUUAAUUUAAUUAGUUAAGUCUAAUAAAUAUGAUAUAAGUUUAUAAAGAAUGAAAUAUUUAUAUAAGAAUGACAACAUAAAUGACCACAAAAGCAACCUUGAGGGGUUGAAUAUGUAAAUUAUGAUGUUAAACAUAAGAAAAAUGAAAAACCCAGUGUUUUUGGUGGGUGUAUGUCACGAGCAGAGGGCAAGGGAAAAGGGAAAAACCCUUCUCCUUCAAUUGAACUCAAGAUUCAGCAAAUUGGUGAUGGUUUUAAACACAAAUCGAAUGCAUGAGCUUAGUUACUCCAUAACCUAAGUGGUUUGAACAUAAGUAUAGGGAUCAUAUCAAGAUGGAUGGAAGCAUGAAGGGCUAACGGGUCAAGAGGACAUGGGGAAGCGAACGCAAAUACGGAUGCGUAAGGUAAGUAAUUUCCCGGACUCCCUCUUUAGUAGUAAAGAGAUUAGUUGCAUAAUAAAUGUUAGAAGUUGUGUUGAAACGUGAAUUUGAUGAUGAUAUCAAGUAUUAGUAUUAAGUGAGUGAUUUUCCGGAAUCACUUCUUAGUUUAUUAAAGUAAGGUUAUGUGCUAGUUAUUUAAGUAUGGUAUUGGAGUUUAGGAAGGUUUGAGUAUGUAGAAGUGAAGGUUUCCGCUAAGUCGACCAAACGGGUCAAAAUGAGAGUUAACCCAUUACGGUAUGAUUUGCAUAAGUUAUGACGAAGGUAUUAUAACCGGGUCAUGGAACUAAUUUCUUACAAGUGCGAUAACCGAGAAAUGGGGACAUGGGUUAAUGGUAAAAAGGCUUAGUCUUGAGUUUAAACAAAAGAGUUGUUUGAUAAAAACAUGAACGGGUCGAAUAAUUUGUAAAUGAAUAUUAAGCCAAAAGCAUAUAAGUUAAGAACUUCCUUAGUUUGGAUGUUAGAUUUUGAGUCCAUUUGAUAGAGGACCAAAAUAUGGUCAUGUAGGAAGAAACGAGAGGUUAAACGGGUUGAAAGUUAUGCGAAUUUAGUUUAUGCGAACAACGAAACAACACAGCAGGAAAAUGAAUAAACGAGGGGCCGUCGCCGACGCCCAGAAGGGUCGUCGCCGACGGCAUGUGGGAAUUGAAUUUUUGCCGACGGCCUAGUUUCCUGUCUACGGAGCUUUUGGACGACGGAGGUGCGUCGCCGACGGCCAAUAUGGGCGUCGGCGACGGUGCCAGAGUUUAUGUUUUCUGUUUUCUUCCAUAUGUGAACCCGGUUGAUCCAGUUCGUGUCCCGGCGUUCCGUUAAGCUCCCGAAUGGACCAAAAAUCAAGUUUCUGAUGCAUUUUUGAUAAAGGAAAGGUAUGUAUGUUUAUAACUCCACGUGUACGUAUGUAGUGGGUUAUGUAGUUAUGCUUAAUAAUAUGUAAGAAUGUUGAAUGUAUGUCUAGUCGUAGGAAGGAUAUGUAAGUACGUAGCUGUGUAUGUAGAUAUGUAUAAGGAUAUGUAUGAGUGUACGUACGUACGAAUGUAGAUGUAUAUGUAUGUGGGUAUGUAAAUACGUAUAUGUGUAUGAUUUAGACACAUUGAUCAUUAACGUUAUUAAUGGUGUACCACGAGAAUGAUAAGUAAUGCAGGUACAUUCAUGAAGCCUCACCAGGAAAUGGAUACGCAGAUGUAAAUCUUGAAGUUGAUAAAGAAAGAGAUGUGAGGUGUACGUGAAUGAUCUUGUUUAUACAUUAUGUGCUAAUGUUUGAAUGUAUAUGGUGAAUGCAGGUUGUACGGGAGACGGAGGAUCAUCAAGGUAUAAAGAUCGAGGACCGAGUCACUUGAGGGAUUGUACGGGGUUGUCUAAGGAUGUAAUUUGUUGUACAUAAGCUAUGAUUUAUUCUAUAAUUGAGUCAGUUGUUGUAUUCUAUAUAAAAAGAGUUAUUUUAAAAAGUAAACUUUCAAGUAAGAAGCAUGGUUUAUAAUGUAAGAAAUUUUUAUGGCAAGGACUUCCGCUGCGACUUUCGUCAAUUACGUGUUAGGGCGUUACAAGUUGGUAUCAGAGCCCUGGUUUGAGAGAAUCAAGUACAAGAGGAUAGGUACUUGAACUCGAACCUGUGUGCUCUUAUCACAAGAAACCCGUACAAUCCGAGACUCGACCAAGAUCUAAAGGUAGAAGCAAAGGUAAGUACGUGCUUAAGUAUGUAUUGGAAGAUAACUAACUAUAUGUUAUGUGUAAGGUAACCAUGGUUGCUUGAAAAGAAUGAUUUGUGGAUGCGGUCUAGCACCGACGCCAAGGAAUCACGAUGCGAAGAAACUACCUAGAACGGUGAAAGAAUGCUCAUGAAUGAAAGCUUAUGACGCCCGAUGGACAAGAUCAACCCUAUUAAGUUAUGGAUUCAUGAAGGAGCAAGUCAACUCGGGUUGUUACACGUUGAUUUGUUCCAAAUUACCGAGGUUAGUAAAUGGUUUAACUUGUGGAUGUUAAAUAGAAAGUUACAUAUUGAAUAAUACUUCUAUGCGAACUGGUGGUACUGUAUUGAGUGACCGUAACUGUGGAAAACUCUGAUAGAAUAUAAGAGACGACAAGCAUCGAUAAGAAAUGCUAACCUUGAUGCUCGGCUUGUUGGCCAUGUUCAUUUGAACAAGGCAUUGUAGAAAAGAUAUGCAUGGCAUAAAUAACAGUAGUAACCAUGGAAAUAAUGCUUAAUCUUCGUGUUAGGUACGGAUAAGUAAGUUUGAGGAGGGUGAUUUUAGUUGCAAUAAUAAGUCUAUGGAUGAUUAUAGUAUGCGUAUGAUAAUAUAUCGACCCCUCCUAAGGGCUUUAAGGUGAUCAGAAGUAAUAAUAGUAAUGGAAUGUUUAGGUUGGCUCGUAGUGAACAAAAUGAAAGAUAGCAUAUGGUG